UACGAGGGGGGCAAAUGUUGUCCGGAAUUAUUGGGCGUAAAGAGCUCGUAGGCGGCUUGUCGCGUCGGCUGUGAAAACCUGGGGCUCAACCCCGGGCCUGCAGCCGAUACGGGCAAGCUAGAAUUCGGUAGGGGAGACUGGAAUUCCUGGUGUAGCGGUGAAAUGCGCAGAUAUCAGGAGGAACACCGGUGGCGAAGGCGGCAUCCUGGACCGGCAUUGACGCUGAGGCGCGAAAGCCAGGGGAGCAAACGGG
rnacentral:rRNA from 1 species